UAGUCCGUAUAAAAUUUAAUAGGCAACUGC
rnacentral:sRNA from 1 species